rnacentral:rRNA from 1 species
AAUGAACGUUGGCGGCGUGGAUUAGGCAUGCAAGUCGAGCGAGAACCCCGCAAGGGGGGACAGCGGCGAAAGGGACAGUAAUGUGUAGAUUAUCUGCCCUCAGGUCCGGGAUAGCUGCGGGAAACUGCAGGUAAUACCGGAUAACAUCUCCGGAUCAAAGGUGUGAUUCCGCCUGAGGAUGAGUCUGCAUCCUAUUAGCUAGUUGGUGGGGUAAUGGCCUACCAAGGCAUUGAUGGGUAGCAGGUGUGAGAGCACGACCUGCGUCAUUGGGACUGAGACACUGCCCAGACACCUACGGGUGGCUGCAGUCGAGAAUCUUCGGCAAUGGGCGCAAGCCUGACCGAGCGACGCCGCGUGUGGGAUGAAGGCCUUCGGGUUGUAAACCACUGUCAGAGGGGAUGAAAUGCAGGUGGGUUCUCCCAUCUGUUUGACAUAGCCUCAGAGGAAGAACGGGCUAAGUUCGUG